rnacentral:rRNA from 1 species
UACGUAGGGGGCAAACGUUGUCCGGAAUCAUUGGGCGUAAAGAGCGUGUAGGCGGCUUGGUAAGUCCGCUGUGAAAGUCCAGGGCUCAACCCUGGAAAGCCGGUGGAAACUGUCAAGCUUGAGUCCGGAAGAGGCGAGUGGAAUUCCUGGUGUAGCGGUGAAAUGCGCAGAUAUCAGGAGGAACACCAAUGGCGAAGGCAGCUCGCUGGGACGGUACUGACGCUGAGACGCGAAAGCGUGGGGAGCAAACAGG